UAGCUGAUGGUCUUGCAGUCGGUUGCAAGCUUAAAUACAGACAAUAGUUAUUAAAGCUACCAACCGGCUCCAAGACUGAUUGCCUC
rfam:Caenorhabditis japonica strain DF5081 Contig18213.2, whole genome shotgun sequence.